CGGCCAGCCGCAGCAUCCCUCAGGUCCUACUCCCCAAGAGGCCCAUCCCCAGGGAGCUCAUGCUGCGGGGCAUUGAGCACGCCCACCUGCUGGCCCCUACAAGACGAACGCCCCGGACCAUGCACUGGUCCGGGGCGUUCGUUU
rnacentral:sRNA from 1 species